rnacentral:misc_RNA from 1 species
GAUGAAGAACGCAGCGAAAUGCGAUAAGUAAUGUGAAUUGCAGAAUUCAGUGAAUCAUCGAAUCUUUGAACGCACCUUGCGCUCCUUGGUAUUCCGAGGAGCAUGCCUGUUUGAGUGUCAUGAAAUUCUCAACCUUUUCAGCUUUCUUUGUUGAUCAGGCUUGGAUGUGGGAGUAUGCGGGCUUCUCAGAAGUCGGCUCUCCUGAAAUGCAUUAGCGGGACCUUUGUUGCCUGGCUUUGGUGUGAUAAUUAUCUACGCCAUUGUAGUCAAGCAGCUUAAAAUGAGGUUUCAGCUUCUAACCGUCUCCCUUGAGACAACUUUUUGACAAUUUGACCUCAAAUCAGGUAGGACUACCCGCUGAACUUAAGCAUAUCAAUAAGCGGAGGA